CAUGUCUACUGCUAGAGGCGUCUGUCAAAACAGCCGACGGAUAGUUUGUUUUUAUUCGUUCUCACAUAAAAUUGUCAAGAUCCUGCAUGACUCCUAGAAUGCCAACAGCUAAGCCGGGUUUUUGUUAACAUGAUGAACAUAAUAAUACAAUUGGGGACCUUAUGUUAAUGAAUGAGUUUCAGAGGAAUGAAGUCUUUUGUAACUGGUAACUAUGGUGCGUGUCAAUUGGACAUUCUUUUCACUUCCCCAAAGGUUAAGGAAAUGGGUGACAUGGAACUACUUAGAUUUGACUCUCACAGUUCGCUCUCUCACCUACAACCAUUUUAUGAACUCAAGUUAUGCAUCAGAUGUUGUCUUAGAACCAAUGAUUUGGUUUGUCGACAAUUUCACAAAAUUUCUGGGUCCUUUUUUUGUAGCAUGUGUAUUAGCUCUUACUUCAUCAGUUGUAGCAAUAUUAUAUUGGAUUGGUCUUCCUUACUGGUGGGAGAAAAGCCCGAUUGCAACAGUGCCAAUACUAAUAGUUGGGCAUUGGAUCCUAAUUAACAUCUCCUUUACCUAUUAUAUGGGUGUUGUAACACCUCCUGGAUACCCACCUGAGGGGAGUCUCAUAACUGAAGCUGUGAGCAUCUGCAAGAAGUGUAUUGCCCCAAAGCCACCAAGAACUCAUCAUUGCUCUGUUUGCAACAAAUGUGUUUUAAAAAUGGAUCAUCACUGUCCAUGGUUAAACAACUGUGUUGGCCAUCUAAAUCACCGGUACUUCUAUACCUACAUGGCGUGGAUGUGUAUAGGAGUAAUUUUUGUAAUUAUAUUUGGAUUGGAAAUUCUUUAUAAAGAAAUCAUAUCAGGCUAUUUUUAUGAUGAAGAAUUGGAAGAACUUGAACUGGAGGGACAUCCAGUUCGUAUUAAUACAUCUGGUGCUAUCAUACCCAUUACGGAGGGAGAAUGGGCUGUGACUGAGACAAGUAACUCUUCACCAGCAUUAGAUGAAAUCGCCUGGAGGCGUAGAAGUAUUGUAUAUGUGGCUUUAUUAUGCACAGGUGUUAUUUUUGCUCUAGGUGCUCUGACUAUCUGGCAUGGAAAGCUUAUCAGCCGUGGUGAAACUAGUAUCGAGGCCAACAUCAACAAAAAAGAACGUGAGCGACUAGCCAAGUACAAAAAGACUUACAUCAAUCCAUAUGACUUCGGAAGAUGGAAAAACUGGAUGCUGUUUUUAGGACUGACCAAUGGAAGAGGGUGGAGAUACAUACUGUUUCCCUCAGUUCACCCACCUGUUGGGACUGGACUGCGUUGGAAAACUGUCCAUUCUGACAGUGAUGGAGAAAGUGAUGAUGAAGAUUACAAUACUUUACAUUCAUGUGUGUCUAGUUGAACUUUUGGGAUUCAUUUGCAUCAAUCCAGAGAACACGGUUUUGUCAAAAUGUCAUCAAGUGAUGUCAGUGUCAAGAUUUGUUGUCAAUUUUGCACCAAAUGAUAUAUUACAAUGGUCAUAAUGAUAUCAAAGCUGGCCAUCAAAUGACCAAGUAUUGACACUGACAUCAUUUGACGUCAUUGUGACCAAACCGUGUUCUCUGGGAUUCCCAAUGUGUCAAUUAGGGAAAAAUUUCAGUUUGUCUACAUCUUGUAAAAGCAAUUACACAAUAAUAUGACGAUGUUUUUUAGCCGCUGAUUAGCCAGGUCAGAAUGACAUCCGUACUCAAGCAGAACCCAUUACGCUUGAAGUGUCGGCUGACGCCCAUACAUACAUUCUCGAGUGGCCCUUUUCGUGGUGCGUCGGUAAUCUGAGAAGCACAGAGAGCUCAAUGUGGCGUGGUCCCUCGCGAUCGGAUGGUCCGAUCCAAAAGCGCUCAGCGAGUUAGGCAGUCCCGUGGCACAACGCUGCCGGACGGUGUGGCCUACCCUGCGGUCAUCGGGCGCUCGGCGGUCGCUCUGCACAGGAAACCG